UACGUAGGAGGCAAGCGUUGUCCGGAAUUACUGGGCGUAAAGCGCGUGUAGGUGGUGGGCCAAGUCUGCUGUGAAAGCGCCUGGCUUAACCGGGCGAGGUCGGCGGAAACUGUCCGACUCGAGGACGGUAGAGGGGGGUGGAAUUCCCGGUGUAGUGGUGAAAUGCGUAGAGAUCGGGAGGAACACCUGUGGCGAAGGCGGCCCCCUGGGCCGGCCCUGACACUGAGGCACGAAGGCCAGGGGAGCAAACGGG
rnacentral:rRNA from 1 species